rnacentral:rRNA from 1 species
GAUGAACGCUGGCGGCGUGCCUAAUACAUGCAAGUCGAACGAAACUUCUUUAUCACCGAGUGCUUGCACUCACCGAUAAAGAGUUGAGUGGCGAACGGGUGAGUAACACGCGGGCAACCUGCCCAAAAGAGGGGGAUAACACUUGGAAACAGGUGCUAAUACCGCAUAACCAUAGUUACCGCAUGGUAACUAUGUAAAAGGUGGCUAUACUACCGCUCUUGGAUGGGCCCGCGGCGCAUUAGCUAGUUGGUAGGGUAAAGGCUUACCAAGGCAAUGAUGCUUAGCCGAAUUGAGAGGUUGAUCGGCCACAUUGGGACUGAGACACGGCCCAAACUCCUACGGGAGGCAGCAGUAGGGAAUCUUCCACGAUGGGCGAAAGCCGGAUGGAGCAACGCCGCGUGGGUGAAGAAGGUCUUCGGAUCGUAAAACCCUGUUGUUAGAGAAGAAAGUGCGUGAGAGUAACUGUUCACGUUUCGACGGUAUCUAACCAGAAAGCCACGGAUAACUACGUG